rfam:Comamonas aquatica DA1877 out_16, whole genome shotgun sequence.
GCGGAGCACCCGCCAUGCCGGGUGACGCUAUGGCGCCGGACGAACCCCAAACCUGGGCUGGGGAGCAACAUCGGC